rnacentral:rRNA from 1 species
AGCGAACGCUGGCGGCAGGCCUAACACAUGCAAGUCGAACGAAGUCUUCGGACUUAGUAGCGGACGGGUGAGUAACACGUGGGAACGUGCCCUUUGGUACGGAAUAACUCAGGGAAACUUGAGCUAAUACCGUAUGUGCCCUUCGGGGGAAAGAUUUAUCGCCAUUGGAGCGGCCCGCGUCUGAUUAGCUAGUUGGUGAGGUAAAGGCUCACCAAGGCGACGAUCAGUAGCUGGUCUGAGAGGAUGAUCAGCCACAUUGGGACUGAGACACGGCCCAAACUCCUACGGGAGGCAGCAGUGGGGAAUCUUGCGCAAUGGGCGAAAGCCUGACGCAGCUAUGCCGCGUGAAUGAUGAAGGUCUUAGGAUUGUAAAAUUCUUUCACCGGGGACGAUAAUGACGGUACCCGGAGAAGAAGCCCCGGCUAACUUCGUGCCAGCCGCCGCAGUAACAC